rnacentral:rRNA from 1 species
UACGGGGGGGGCAAGCGUUGUUCGGAAUUACUGGGCGUAAAGGGCUCGUAGGCGGCCAACUAAGUCGGACGUGAAAUCCCUCGGCUUAACCGGGGAACUGCGUCCGAUACUGGAUGGCUUGAGUUCGGGAGAGGGAUGCGGAAUUCCAGGUGCAGCGGUGAAAUGCGUAGAUAUCUGGAGGAACACCGGUGGCGAAGGCGGCAUCCUGGACCGACACUGACGCUGAGGAGCGAAAGCCAGGGGAGCAAACGGG